GCCGCACGCGCGCUACAAUCUAGGA
rnacentral:misc_RNA from 1 species